UCUACAACCCUACCGUAAAGGCGUAACAUAUUGGUUUACAUUAGCUUGCCUUAUUAACCCUCCUGCAAGAAUAGUUGUCUAAAUGCCUCUUUAGCCUUAAAUUGGUAUUACUUUUCAGAUUCCAGAAUGCUCCUGUGUGUGGGGUCUCUGGGGGACCACUACAUGGCCCCAGACGGCUCCCUGGUAGUGGUCCUCCGUCUCCUGAGCAAAACCAGUUGUCUACACCAGUUUUAAUUUCGUCUCUUGCUGCGCAAAAAGUCGUCCUUCAGGGGAAGCGCCUCUACAGUUCUUCCAAGACGUUACUGUUCUAACUACACAAGUUUCUUUAUAGUACCAUAUCACGUCCAACAGUCGACUCUUCACGCGGCACCCGUGUCCUUCCGGCAUUGUAAAUCCCAGCUUCCAUUCGCCCCUCAGUCCCAGCGUACACGUCUCUUCCUUCAAGGCCACAAGGAACUCUACACUCCAUCCUCUGGAAUACCUGACACGUGAAACGAGGGCGGGUAAGAACUAAAGUAUCUCAGAGUGAGUACUAGUACCUACAGCUGUGAUCAAGCCAACUCUUACUGCCUAGCGUCUUGGUAGAGGCUCCCCGCUAGUCAGUAUCAAAGACAAGGAAGACUUCAAAAAGCGUUAUCGCCGGAAGUGGGAUUCAGUUUAUGUGUACAAGCGGCAACGAGCGAGGCAGGAGGACCUGGAGGUGGUCACCCGGUUCAGUCCUACACAAACAGGUCUGAAACUAUAAG